UACGGAGGGUGCAAGCGUUAUCCGGAUUUACUGGGUUUAAAGGGUGCGUAGGCGGAUCUUUAAGUCAGUGGUGAAAUCCUCCCGCUUAACGGGAGAACUGCCAUUGAUACUAUUGAUCUUGAAUACCGUUGAGGUGGGCGGAAUGUGUCGUGUAGCGGUGAAAUGCUUAGAUAUGACACAGAACACCGAUUGCGAAGGCAGCUCGCUAAACUGUGAUUGACGCUGAGGCACGAAAGCGUGGGGAUCAAACAGG
rnacentral:rRNA from 1 species